AUUGAACGCUGGCGGCAGGCCUAACACAUGCAAGUCGAGCGAGCGGCGGACGUGUGAGUAAUGUCUGGGGAUCUGCCAGUUAGCGGGGGAUAACUACUGGAAACGGUGGCUAAUACCGCCUACUAUCGGAUGCACCCAUAUGGGAUUAGCUAGUAGGUGGGGUAAAGGCUCACCUAGGCGACGAUCCCUAGCUGGUCUGAGAGGAUGAUCAGCCACACUGGGACUGAGAAACGGCCCAGACUCCUACGGGAGGCAGCAGUGGGGAAUAUUGCACAAUGGGCGCAAGCCUGAUGCAGCCAUGCCGCGUGUAUGAAGAAGGCCUUAGGGUUGUAAAGUACUUUAAGCGGGGAGGCGUUACCCGCAGAAGAAGCACCGGCUAACUCCGUGCCAGCAGCCGCGGUAAUUC
rnacentral:rRNA from 1 species